UUCUCGACACCCGUGGAUUGGGGGGGCUUAUGAAGGAAGAACCUAGAAGCUGUUUUAGAAGUACCAUUUCCAAUGAACAUCCACAUUUUUUUUAUCUCGCAACGGAGUAGAAUAUAUAGUCAUUGACAGGCGAAGCAAGUAUGAUGAGUAAUUUUGUUAGUGCACCUCAGGUAUAUGCAUCAGACACUCUUUCUCUCGCAAUCAAGCCUCCCCCAUCGAUGAUGGAACCCCAAACGAGAGCGUCUCAGAUGUAUUCGUUCGGGUGACACAACUCAUGUCCAUACUCGAGACUCGGUACUCCGAAGACACUGCGAUCAUUGUCUCACCAGAUUCAGACAAUUUGACUGUCCUUCAAGCUGGUAUAAUUAGACUUGACUUGCGCAGUUUCAGGCACAGGGUACUUUCUUUUGCACAAGGAGAAGUCAGAUUUGUUAAUACCAAUAGUGUACCUCCUUACAAGCAACCUGCGUCAGUUGUGUAUAAAUGCCUAAAACCACCAAAUUGUAACCAACGUUAUUUCUUUUGAUAGACUGAACUUUACCGGGCUUGCAAGAGGCUUGUAUCUCAUUUGGUUAAGAGUAUUCACUCUUGCCCA